GUGGAUUCUCUCAGACUCUUCUUUCAGAUCCUUUCCUCCAAUGAUAAGGCCAGCUGAGAAGUCGUGAUUCUUUCCCACUUUACGCAGAACCUUAAAAGUCUGAAACGCCAGCUCCCGGGUGGGCGAUAUUAUCAGAACUCCCAACCCAUCUGCUGAAGUCCACUGAAGGCGGUAUAGGAGUUCCAGAGCUGGGACAAUGAAAGCCAAUGUUUU
rnacentral:lncRNA from 1 species